rnacentral:rRNA from 1 species
GCCUACGGGUGGCUGCAGUGGGGAAUUUUGGACAAUGGGCGAAAGCCUGAUCCAGCGACGCCGCGUGGAGGACGAAGGUCUUCGGAUUGUAAACUCCUUUUGCAGGGGACGAUUAUGACGGUACUCUGCGAAUAAGCAACGGCUAACUACGUGCCAGCAGCCGCGGUAAUACGUAGGUUGCAAGCGUUACUCGGAAUUACUAGGCGUAAAGCGUGUGUAGGCGGUGUCUUAAGUCUGUCGUGAAAUUCCACGGCUUAACCGUGAAAAGUCGACAGAUACUGGGAUGCUAGAGUGAGGUAGGGGAAACUGGAAUUCCAGGUGUAGCGGUGGAAUGCGUAGAUAUCUGGAAGAACGCCAAAGGCGAAGGCAGGUUUCUGGGCCUUUACUGACGCUGAGACACGAAAGCUAGGGGAGCAAACAGGAUUAGAUACCCUAGUAGUCA